rnacentral:lncRNA from 1 species
AUACAUCACAUAUAAUAUCUAAAAAAUAGAAUUUAAAUUGAACUAUUCAAAAUAAAAACUAUUCUAGACAAGUUACUAGAAUAAUUCUACAACUAGUCUAGGCAUGCAACAGAUCAAUUUUAUGAAAUAAUUAAAAUUUUAUUUUUUAUUUUCUGAUAUGAUUAUAACAAUUAUAAUAUUAAAAAAAUAAAGAAUAAAUUAGAUUUAAUUCAUAUUUU